AGCAGCCGCGGUAAUUCCAGCUCCAAUAGCGUAUAUUAAAGUUGCUGCAGUUAAAAAGCUCGUAGUUGGAUUUCUGGCUUGAAACAAGCUGCCGGCCACGGUUUCGUGUGUUAGUGCAGUUUGUUCUGGCCAUCCUUCCAAUCGCGUCGAUCUGCUCUUCAUUGACUGGGUCGGCGUAUUGGAUCUUUUACUUUGAAAAAAU
rnacentral:rRNA from 1 species